UUCCCGCCCCGCGCUGGCGGCCCUCGCCCGCUCACCGCCUCCAGGCUGCCGUGACCCACGCCUUUUCCAGCUCUGCAGCGCCCCUCGCUUCAGUUCCCCGCCGAGUCCGCGCCUCCUGGUUGUUCGCAGUCACAAGUCGCGGCCCUGGAAACCCCAGAGCAGUGACCGCCACGGCCUGCCAUCCCCGAGGCCGGUCAUCCGGUGCUGGACGGCUGAAGCAAAGGAGGCAUUCUGAAGGGGAGGCUGGUCCACAGCCUGUCUUGGAUUUGUGGAAUGCUUCUUCAGGGUUCCUGUGGGACCCGCCUCCCCUCCAGCCAAGAGCACCGGACCUGAUGAUCCCUGCAGAAUUCCUGAAGCAGAGACUGGCCCUUCUUCAGGGCCCCUGCUGUGUCCACGAUCCCUCUCUGGGGCCCUCUCUCCUGUGCUCAGGCAGGAGUAGCCAGGCAGUGAGGCCGGCCUGCUGACCGCCUGCACCAGGGUGUCUGGGGUGGUCAGCAUUCCAGAACUCCCUUAAGAGUAGAGAUGUAGCCAAGCUGCUGGGCUGUCGCCUGACCUGGGGCAAGGCCUGUACUACCACCUGCCCUGUGGCCUCUGGGCUGGUCUCCUUUCUCCGGCCUGUGUCUAGGAGGCACCCCCAGAGGCUCCUGCCACCUGGGUGCAGAGAAGGGCAUUUCAGGCUCCCGCCUUCCUUCUUUGCUCUUCCACUUUGGGACCUUUGCUCAGCAAAGAGAAGCCCCGGAGGGUUGGGAAGUUAUGAUCCCUCAUUUAUUCCUUCUAUGAUCAGUCUUUGACCUCCAGGCCAGGAUCUAAGUGAGCCACUGGACCCUGGGGCUUGUUUCUGUGUUCCUGUGCAAGGCCCCCUCCCUAUCUGUACCAGCCAUUUGCAUAAAAAUAGGCCCUACAGUUUUGCCAGAAAAUGCAUUUCCUUAAAGAAUAUUCUUUUUACUAUAAAAACGUCUAUUGAUUGGGUUUCACUUAAGUUUUUGGAAGGGAAGGUGAGACACUUGGAAAGAGUGAUCCAGUCAUUAGAGGUCUGGGUGCAUUUCCUUCCUGCCCUUUUUCUGUGAAGAACUUAGAAAAUGCUUCCCACCUAAUGCUCGAAGCCCCGUCUUCAGGCAGGUGGAGCCCACCCAAGGUAAGAAGAGGCCGUCUGCUCCCUUGGUGGUGAGACGGGGACCGUGGGUGUAGUCAGAGCAGGGUGAGGGCCUCUGGUAGAAGACCCCUACCAAAACUCCAUAUUAAACAAUUAAGCAAAGACAGAGUCACAUUAAUUCUCUAAAGUAAAAUAUCAAACUAGGAUUAUAAGCAUUCUUCAGUGAAGGUUAGUUAAAAGUAAAAAGGCAGGAGUAACAGCCUGGAAUGUUUGAACAUCUCCCAGAAAAGAAAAUACCUCAGUAUAGCCCAUGUAUUGUUUGUAUCAAUUAAAUGAGGCUAUUGUAAAAUUUACUUUAGCCUGCUAAAAAGCCCAGUUUAUCUUUAACUUUACCCAGAUGCUGCUUUUACUACUCCAGCCCCUAAUCAAGGAAUAUAUAACCUGGGCAAUUAAUAUAACAGGCAGGCCCAGCCGUAAACAACAUAAUGAAGGGCAGGAAGGAUUCCAUCUUAAAGAAGUUAAGAAGUAAGAUUCUUAAUUUACUAUUUAACAAACAGACAAUAACUCAGCUCACCCUGAAAGCAACACAAGCAGCCUUGAUUGCUAUGCUCCCAAACCAAGAAACUGCUAUUCUAAGAAAGGAUCAAAGCAGUAAAUUUCUUAUGCAAACUCUGCAAAAUAGUCUGGAAACCCGAUAAGAAACCUAGUGUCUCCUUAAACAUAAACAUUUAGAGACCAUUUGGUGGGUCUGCAUCCCCAGCUCUUUGUCUCUCAACCGCCUAUAAACCCCCUAGACAACGCACCACCCCGGCUCUCCUGUCCCCCCCACCCCCGGGCUCUCCCGAGCCAGGAGGUCUGUCUGUCCUCUCACCGUCUCUCUCAGUAAGUCUUCCUGGCUCUCCUACCUUGACUGCUAAGCUCAUUCUUGACUCCGCAAACGAGAACCCCGGCCUCAGUGGGAGGGCGCUGGCAUGGCCGGGUCCCCAGGGAGCUGCCUCCCUCUGCAAGGUCUGUUAGCCCUCGGUCAGUGCCCACUGCCAUUACAGUGGCCAGCUUGAGCCCUCUGCCCCCCAUACCCAUGCUCGCCUGUCCCAGGCCAAGUCCCUUCAUCCUAUGAAGAGAGUCUGCGCCUCCGCAGGGGCAGGGCAGCGGCGGGCGGCCCCAGCAACAUCCCCGCCGGGAGGCCACUCGGCAGAGGGAGUUCGCUUGCUAUUUAACGGUGCCCCUUGUUCCCAGAGACCGGAAUGUGUUGGUGUCAAGUCCACCAGCAAGGCAGCGAGCGGGUCCUUGUGAGGCUGCAGCGAAAAGAGAAUAGCGCAGCAGCUUAGGGUGGGCGGCGCAGCGGCAGGAAGCAGAGGCGAUCGGGAGCCCAUCAUCCAGCAGGGGCUCUUGUUACAGGGAGCACCACCCGUUGGGAGGCAAGGUGGCCUGGCCCCAGGGGGCGGGAGUCCGGAAACAGGAGGCAGGAGUAACCCUGUGUUACUGGGUGAGUCGGGGUGCUCCAGGGGAACAACCCAUAGACCUGUGGGGACCGUGUACGAGGAAGUUCAGGUCGGGACUGGCCUGUGAUUGUGGAGAGCCCAGGGCAGAAGAUGGUCCUCUCAGCAGGUGGUCUGCCCCCCCCCCCCCCCCCCCGCCUGCUCUCUGAGGGCUGGGCUGGCUGAUUGGCUGAUGCCGCCCACGUUCUCAGGGCGGAUCCUAGGUCUCCUGAGUCAAAUGCUGGUCUUCAGAAAUGGCAACAGUAUCGGGUGAAGCUGUCAGUGUCCGUCGGUGUAAUUCACAUAACGGCCGUGACAUAAGAGGGGGAGGCUGAAAGGAUCUGAAUGGCGGUAAGGCUUCUGCAUUUACUUGAAGUGAUAAAAUACUGGUCAUAAGCAGGUGGUACACAAUUAGGCAUGUAUACUGUAAUCCUCAGAACAACCUCUUAGAAAAAUCAAGGAGGUACACCAAAAGUCAAUAAAUACAUUAAAAUACUAAAAAAUAUUCAGAAACAAUUGGCCCUUGAACAACAUGCGUUUGAACUGUAUGGGUCCACUUAUAUGUGAAGUUUCUACAAUAAAUAUAUUGGAAAACUUAAAAAAAAAA